CCGCCGCCGCGCCCGUGCCCGUGCACGAGCUUAGUGUCGCGCUACAACACCACGUGCUCGCACUGCAGGCCACACAAGAGGACAGCAGCUGAGGGUCACUAUCAUGGUAUUUAUUGUGGAUCUUGUUAUACAGUAUUGACCAAUCUCAUGAUUUUAAUUAGAUAGUCUAAUUUAUUAUUUUAUAAGUAUUAUUAACAUGAAAAUAAACUUAUUUUAAAGUU